rnacentral:misc_RNA from 1 species
UAUGCUUUCGCCCUAAAAACUCAUUUUGAGUAAUAUAAAUAAAUGGUGUUACUCCUUCUGGCAGUUGAGCCACAUUGCAUUUGUCUUCUUCUGAAUGCAACAUCUUUGGACAAAUGGAUAGGAAUUAGGGUUUUACAAAAGCUUAAUAAUCAUUUUUUGUGUUUCUUAUAUACAUACAUAUACACAAAAAAAGUAUCAUGUGUUUUGUUGUGAAGAAAUAAAA